rnacentral:RNase_P_RNA from 1 species
AUAUAUGGCGAUGAUGGGAGAAAGUCCUUGAGGACGCCCGUGGAGUUGGUGAAACGGCCGACCACCCCGGAGCAAGUCCAGUAGGGUCGGGAUGAAUGCCCGGCUGACCGAUCGGGUAGGACGCUUAGAAGAAUGCCGCUGGAACAGAAGGGGGCUUACUCCCCUCACCC